CUUCUAAGUCUUUAGAACACGAUUGCAUGGUACAAGUAGAUCAAAUAUCAAUUGCGGAUAAGAUCACUCAUUAUAAUAAUGGGCUUAUAUUUAGUUUCAUGCAUUUUUCUAAGGUUAGGAGGAUGUGGUGUCAUGCAUAGGAGCGUAAUAGUGAAUAAAAACCGAUCUCUCAAGAUAUAGCGUAAGCAUCAAGUACAAAAUCUGACCCUCUUCAAUUGACUUAAAAGGCCAGAUAGUGUUUAAUGUUGAAAAAAAAACUAGAAACAUAUCAGGUACAGAAAGAAGGAGGAAGAAGAUUUAGCAUAAAAAUAAUUUGUAUAAUCAGAAAAGGGAGAACAACAACUUGCCUAAAAGUUAACGGGUUUCUGGCUAAACUGGCCUAGUGGAGAUUCACCUUCCUUGGCAAGAACACCCUCUAAUUUCUUUGCCUAUACAAAGUUUGAGUGAAUCAAUAAUAUUUUUUUUUUCUCUGCCUCCAGAAAAUACUUCGAAGCUCAAGUCCGUAAGAAUAUAAAAUAUAAUGGAUAUAGUGUAAAAUGAGUUGGAAUCACUCCCGUUGUUGUCAUGUGUUGGAGUUGUUCCCCUUGUCUAUUCCAUUAUCCGAACAUCUUCUUUCCUUUACAUAAGAUAAUAUUCUCCCCUACUCCUUUUAUCUAGUUUUGUUUUGAACUAUAUUCCUAAAUUAAUUACAAUAUCUCAUAUAUAUGUAUAUAUAUAUAUAUAUUUAAUUUUCAUAAUUAACGCUCUCUCCUCUUUAGAAGAAACAAAUGAGAUCUACCUUAACAGUUGAAGCAUGAUGAUGUAUCGUGGUAGAGAAAAGUUCAACAGAAGCGACCUGAGAACACACGAGAUGAGAGCAGAAACAAGUAUCAUUGUCUUCUGAAUCUGGUUC
rnacentral:lncRNA from 1 species